CUGGCCACCCCUGACCACGCCCUGGCCCCGCCUUGGCCACCCCACGGCCGGAGAAUAAUUUUAAAAUAAAUUAUAUGUCUCGGAGAAUUUUGGUUCCGGCCGCUAGAUUUUAGUUCCGCCGAUUUGUUUCCCGGUGGGACCCAUUUUGCUGUAACACCCACAAGCUGUUUUCUCAACCUCUCUGAAACGAACGUGCCUCGUGUAGCAGCAACUGGUGGAGGAGUCAGUCGAAGUCAUGUCCACACAACCUACCCAUGAACCAGGGCCGUGAGAUUUGGAGUCAUUGAUCCAGUAACACAACCCACUCAAGGCACUUCGCAAGAUGCCAACAGACGAGGCAGCCGAACACCAACCCUGGGUUCAGUGGGCCCCCUGCAGACAUAUCCAGAUCAAGAUCAGACCCACCUACCCAACCCCAGCUGAAAGAGUACCCAAGAACAGCCUUCGGUGCAAGACAAAGAAAUUUCAGUCCUUCGUGGUAUGGUCUGUACACAUGGAUUGAAUACUCCCAGUCCAAGGACGCUGUUUAUUGUUACGCCUGUAGGCACUUUAGCCUUCCCAACGUAGACACUACUUUCACAGUACUUUCUUUUUACUGCAGAAAGCACCUUUAUGUUAAAAAAGUAUGUUACAAUUUCACUUAAAGUCUAUCUCAAACAAGAGCUCAGAACUCAAGAGAUUUAGUUUCAACAGUACAUAUGAUGGACAAUAACAUGUAGAAAGUGUUAACAUGUGGUAUGAGUUCAGUAUAUAUGUAUUUUCCUUUUAUUGUAGAAAGCCUCUAUAUGCUUAUGCUACAUAUAAUAAAUGAAUACAUUGAUUUCUUACCUUG